ACCUGGCUGGCUCAGUUGGUAGAGCAUGCGACUCUUGAUCUCAGGGUUGUGAGUUUGAGCCCCAUGUUUGGUG
rnacentral:tRNA from 1 species